rnacentral:rRNA from 1 species
AGAGUUUGAUCAUGGCUCAGGACGAACGCUGGCGGCGUGCUUAACACAUGCAAGUCGAACGAGGUUCAGCCGGUCGCAAGACCGGCGAAGACCGAGUGGCGAACGGGUGCGUAACACGUGAGAAACCUGUCCCGGUCUCUGGAAUAACAGUCGGAAACGACUGCUAAUACCGGAUGCCGUCGGAGCGUCGCAUGGCGCGCUGACGAAAGGGCUACCGGAUCGGGAGGGUCUCGCGGCCUAUCAGCUUGUUGGUGAGGUAACGGCUCACCAAGGCAUCGACGGGUAGCUGGUCUGAGAGGAUGAUCAGCCACACUGGGACUGAGACACGGCCCAGACUCCUACGGGAGGCAGCAGUGGGGAAUCUUGCACAAUGGGCGAAAGCCUGAUGCAGCAACGCCGCGUGCGGGAUGAAGGCCUUAGGGUUGUAAACGCGCUUUCAGCAGGGAAGAAAAUGACGGUACCUUAGAGAG